AUUGAACGCUGGCGGCAUGCCUUACACAUGCAAGUCGAAGGGCUGCACGGGAGCAAUCCUGGUGGCGAGUGGCGAACGGGUGAGUAAUAUAUCGGAACGUGCCCAGUAGUGGGGGAUAGCCCGGCGAAAGCCGGAUUAAUACCGCAUGAGACCUGAGGGUGAAAGCGGGGGAUCGCAAGACCUCGCGCUAUUGGAGCGGCCGAUAUCAGAUUAGCUAGUUGGUGGGGUAAAGGCCUACGAAGGCAACGAUCUGUAGUUGGUCUGAGAGGACGACCGGCAACACUGGGACUGAGACACGGCCCAGACUCCUACGGGAGGAAGAAGUGGGGAGUUAUGGACAAUGGGCGCAAGCCUAAUCCAGCAAUGCCGCGUGCAGGAAGAAGGCCUUCGGGUUGUAAACUGCUUUUGUCAGGGAAGAAAUCCCUUGGGAUAAUACCUCGGGGGGAUGACGGUACCUGAAGAAUAAGCACCGGCUAACUACGUGCCAGCAGCCGCAGUAACAC
rnacentral:rRNA from 1 species